CAAAUUUGAACUUGAUUAAAAAGUAUUUCAUUUACGUUGAAAAUUUGAAGUGUAAUUCUUUAAAAUUUGA
rnacentral:tRNA from 1 species